rnacentral:lncRNA from 1 species
CAGCGGAAGUUUAGGGGCGGGGCCCACGGGAUGGAUUGAAAGUGUGGGCCUCAGGAUGAGAGAGGGGAGCAACUUUAGGGUAGAGUUGAGGCGGUCGGACUAGAUGGAGGUGGGGACAAGGGGCACCUCAGGACGCGGACGCAGCCGCCAACCACCAGGACGCCGGCCUGUGACCUGGGAAAUCUCUGACUCAGAGCCCGAGAGCCCAUCCAGCUACCGUGCCGAGGGCCUUGGUGACCCAGGAGAGGCGAGUGCCGAAUCUAAGGACCCUGGGGGCCUUGAUCCCCCAGUGGGUCCCGUGGCUGCUCCGGGGCAAGCCCGGCCUCGGGAAAGGGUGGGGAGAAAGGCGCAGGAGAAGCUGGGUACUGCAGCUGCUCGAGCCGAGGCCCGGAGGAAGGACCGGGAGCUGGAAAGGCAGAAGAGGAAAAGUGCAGCUGAAGCCCUCAGGCUAAUGCGACCGGACCGUUGCCUGAUGCACUUGACCGUCCUUCUGGACCCAGCUCUCCUGGAAAAUGCUGGCUCUGAUAUCCUAAUAGAGGCUUUGGUUUCCCUGAAAUGUGAGUAUGUCAUUGAGCCUCAGCCAUGGGUCCAAAGUCUCACCUGGAAGAGAUCAGUGCCAACCAUCUGCCAGAGCAGUGUGANGUCCCACUGCCUGCUCUGUUCCUUGGAUUGUACUGGAGAAUGCAGCUGGCCAGACUCACUACCACCUGGCUGUCAUUGGACUUGACGAUUAUCAGUG